UACGGAGGGUGCAAGCGUUAUCCGGAUUUACUGGGUUUAAAGGGUGCGUAGGUGGGUCUGUAAGUCAGUGGUGAAAUCUCCGAGCUUAACUCGGAAACUGCCAUUGAUACUAUAGAUCUUGAAUUAUCUGGAGGUCAGCGGAAUAUGUCAUGUAGCGGUGAAAUGCUUAGAUAUGACAUAGAACACCAAUUGCGAAGGCAGCUGACUACGGGAGCAUUGACACUGAGGCACGGAAAGCGAUGGGGAUC
rnacentral:rRNA from 1 species